AAAAAAGUGUAUUAUUAAAUCCUUGUAAGAGCAAAGUGAGUAUACAAAAAUAAAGUGAUAAAAAGAAAUUAAAAACAGUGUUAAAACUAAACAAUUAAAGUGGUAGUGCUAGAAUGAAGAUACUCACUAUUGCAGAUAUCUGUGUUGAAUGGAGAAAAUAAUAAAAGUGACCUGUGAAAACUCCUCCUAUAUAUACACACCUGUGGCCAUCUCUAAAGGGGCCUAUGAAGCUGGGGGGCCUGGGUGGGGUGCUUAACCCCAACGGAAUAUGGUCUGAAUUCCAAAUAUACUGUGUACAGAGAAAGGAUUGG